GGAAGAUGAGGACGAUGAAGAGGAUGAGAAUGAAGAGGAUGAGGAAGAGGGACCCCCCCGGAAGCGCCGGCAGCGGCCGUCGGACGUGGGCGAGGGCAGGACGGUGUUCAUCCGGAACCUCUCGUUCGACACCGAGGAGGAGGAGCUGGAGGAGAGCCUGCGCCAGUUCGGGGGGCUCUGCUACGUGCGGCUGGUGCUGCACCCCCACACCG